rnacentral:rRNA from 1 species
ACAGGUCUCCGUUGGUGAACCAGCGGAGGGAUCAUUA